AGCAGCCGCGGUAAUUCCAGCUCCAAUAGCGUAUAUUAAAGUUGUUGCAGUUAAAAAGCUCGUAGUUGAAUUUCGGGGUCAGUAGGUCGGUCGUGCCACUGGUAUGAACUGAUUUUACUGAUUCCUCCCUCUUGAAGAACUGUAAUGCCAUUAAUUUGGUGUUGCAGGGAAUCAGGACUGUUACUUUAGAAAAA
rnacentral:rRNA from 1 species